UACGGGGGGAGCAAGCGUUGUUCGGAUUUACUGGGCGUAAAGGGCGCGUAGGCGGCCACCGCAAGUCGGUUGUGAAAUCUCUGGGCUUAACCCAAGAAAGCUCAACGAUCUGCGGGGCUAGAGUGCAGAAGGGGCAACUGGAAUUCUCGGUGUAGCGGUGAAAUGCGUAGAUAUCGAGAGGAACACCUGCGGCGAAGGCGGGUUGCUGGGCUGACACGUGACGCUGAAGCGCGAAAGCUAGGGGAGCGAACGGG
rnacentral:rRNA from 1 species